GAGGGUAUAGUUCAGUGGUAGAGUUUGUGCUUAGCAUGCAUAAGAUCCUGGGUUCAAUCCCCAGUCUCUCCA
rnacentral:tRNA from 1 species